UACUAUACUAAACGUGAACCAACUCCAUUUUUCUCCUAAUUUUGAAUUUUUCUCCGGAUUAACAGCUGUGUGACACGUACCCUUUUACUGGUUUGCUUUUCAUCGUCACUUUCAUGUGUGCAAUUUAGGUGCUCUGUGCUAUUUUCCAGAGGUGCUGUGUUGUCCACACCUUCAAUGUGUUUUCUCUCUUGGGGAUCCUUAUGGGUGGAUGUAGUCAUUUAUGGUGGGUCCAUGUCUUAAUUACCGCCCCACCACUUUGACCACCGCUCUGUCCAUGGAGAAAAAUCUUGCCCCCACUAGACCCUCCUCUGGUUUCUCUUCUUCACCACACGUCCCGCUCCACCUUACGGCCCCGCAUCACCGGCGACACCGCUUGCUGCCACAUCAGAUGGGAUGUCGUGCCGUAGCGACGUCCACCGACGCUCAUCUUCAUGGCCGUCGCGAGGCUGGUGGCCGCUCCACUCCCUCUCGCAGCCUCCCGCGCCCGUGCCUCGCCGGCGCGGCUCACCUUCGGCCCGUCCCGACGGCAGGGCCGACGCCGCGGAGGUGGACGAGGCGAAAGAUCCGACGGUGGCGGCGGGGAAGGGGUGACGGAGGGCAAGGCGAGCUGUUGCGCCGCGGGAGGCUCCGCCACGGCGCCGCCGACAAGUGCGACGAGGUCCGUCGUAGGGAGGGCCGCGCCAGGCAGCCGUCGACUCCGUCGCCUCGCCGCCAGCGAGCAUUGGCCGUGAGGAAGAGGCGCGCCACGGGGAGGACUCCGCCACGCCGCCGUCUUUUCUCGGUCUCUUUUCUCUUCUUCGCGCGGAUCUUUGCGUGGGGCUGCGCCUGCGCGUGGCGGUCGUCGGAUUCAUGGUGGUGGAGGGGCUACUGAUGGGCGGGGAGCCGGGGACGUGGAGGCCGCUCAAUCUCAAAGCGGGUAGUCGGGGCGUCCUCUCUGCCGCGACCGCGUUGCUCGAGGCCGCACUGAGCUGCUCCUCCAACCCGAGUCCACCCCGUCUUCGUCCCGCGGGACGGAGGCGUCAAGAGACAAGCUCCACUUCCCGGAGCUCCGGCCACUGUCGUACCCGGUGGCCGCUCCCUGCGAACCCAGUGGCGAUGGGGGUGCGCGUCCGCGUCCACCUGGGCGCCGGCGCCGCGGGAGGAGGACAUGACGGCGGCGGUAGAGGCGGAGUGGUGCAGCGCGCCCUCGUGCGCCUCGCCGCUGGCGUACUCGGAGAGCGCGGCGUCCUGCCCCGCGUGCGCCCGACAGCGCGUGCCGCGCGUGCCGCGCCUCCACGGCCCCCUGCAGCAGUUUCUUCUACUCCUGUCACCACGCCACCGCACCCUCCACAUCCUCCUUGCACUGCCUGCACCCCAUCGCGCCCUCACACGCUGAGCGGCGAGGUCGUGCAUGUGCGCACGGACUGGGAGUUUGCGCAGCUGUUGGCCGAAGGUGUACCUCGCGCUGGGAGCUGCCUCCGCCGGUUUGUUAGGGUUGGGGCGCCUUCGCCUUAGGCGCCUCAUUGUGUUGGAGCAAUCGAGCUAGCUGGCUCAGUCCGUAUCUCCGGCGUCAUUUGCUGCAACAAUACUUUUCCUUGAUUUGCAUCAGUUAAGGUUUUUAGAAUAAGAAUCUGAAGAUGGAUUGCACGCCUCUAAAGGAUUUAUCUCGGAAUUCCUAUGGAUGGAAGGUCAAGGUCCGGUUUGCUAGGAUCUGGGAGCUCAGAAAUACAGAUCAGGGGAUUCUCUUCUCACUUGAUUAUGUCGUCGCUGACCAGCAGGUUAGAUCUAUUUGCACUGCUUUCCUAUCUACCAGAUUGUUUAGAUCUAAUGUAUCAGUCAAUCUGUUCGUGUGCCCGCUCUCGCAUCACGUCCCUUUCUUUGUAGUGCCUCACGCUAUGUGUGCCUAUCUUCCGUUUUUCUUCACAUUUUCUUAUUCAUAUGUUUGGUGCGCGACUAAUAUGGCCUGUUACAAGUCAAAUUGAUAAAUAGGUAAACUUUCUUUAUUGUUGUCAUCUCUCUCAUUGUUGCUCGGCUUAGUGAUUCUCUCGAUUUGCCACUAUAUUGCUCUACUUUAUUAUUACAGAAUUUAUUUUCCUCUUUGUUUUUGCAAUGCUUUACAGAGGAAGGUUUAGUUCUUAAAGAUCAGUUAAAGGAAGGGUCUGUUUACAUCAUGGAGAAAUUUGAUCUAUAUGGUCCUAGAAAGAGCUACAGAUCGGUUCCUUUGAGGACCUGUUUUACUCUAAGAACUGUCCUGACACCACUGGAAAAUUUUCCUAUGUUUGCCUAUACUGUUCUGCUGUUUAGCAUGCUGUCAGAUUGCAUUGAUCAAAAUAUACUCCUAUCUGGCACGAAUAUGGGUGAUCCGAACAUUGAUUUAUUCCUCUAUUCUCUAUUUUUUUGGGCAGAAGUAGUUUUGUGCUGUGUUCAUUUAGCUAUUCUAUGUAUAUUUACAGAUGUUGUUGGAUUGGUUAACAAAGUGACGGAUGUCUUUCCUCCCUCUGGUAAUGCUAAAAGUCAGAAGCGGCAAAAACAUAUCACAGAUGACAGGUGCUAUUCACUGCUAUUCUUUAUUUUUAUUUAUUUAUCUGGGCAGCCAUUUACUACUUCUAAUUAUUUUCUACUUCAUAUUGGUGUUAUUUUAUGAAGCGAGCACGCCAUUGUUACUUUGUGGAGGGGAGCAGGCUGAUUUAUCUGAUGAUGAUGGAUUAAUGGAGGCAUCAAAUGAAGAACCAGGUUUGUUGGCUUUCAAAAGUACAUCUGUUACAACAUGGUAUGUGAAUAUGCCGAUUCCAGAGAAUGCCGCUGUCCGAGAUAGGUCCAAGCAUCUGCCGUGGCGUAUCGAGUUACACAGUGGAAACCAAGGCCGCACUGAGCCGAAAGUAUCGACUAUCGCAGAGAUUGCGACCUUUGAGUCUAAUUAUAUUAUGGUGUGGUAUUGUCAAAUGCAUUCCAAUCAGUGUGUUGUGGCUCUCAAGGUUUCCAGGCACCGGUGAAAUGAGAGUAAAAGAACAUCCUGCUAUAAGAGAAGUGACCCUAAUCAGAUCAUAUUCACAGAUGUUGCCAUGUAACAUGAGCAUAUCCGAGGAAGCGAAUUAGCAGAUCUUUCUCUUCAAAUGUAUGCAAUCAGCCAGUUGUUUGAUUUGCCAAGAAACCAUUAUCAGAUCAUAUUCAGAUGCUUUAAUCACCUCUACACGUAUGCAGUAAGCGAAUAAGCACAUCAAUUCAUACAGAUACUUGGUCCAUAUUUUGGGUCUUUGGGAACUCCAUGACCCUCUGCAAUGUACACAUACACCUGGUACUAAACAUUCUAUGGGUUUAUUAGCUGGUUCCCUCUUCUCGGAUAUAUAAUUACUGCCCAUCAUGUUUAUUACUCCCCAGCAUGGUUCAUUUAGGCAGUAAUUUUGAUAUGCUCAGCUCAGAAACUGUAUCAGGUUUGGAACCUUUGAUAUGAGCCUUUUCAGGUAAAGAAAGAUGACAAUAAGAUCCUAUAUGACAGAUGAAGGGUGUGAAAUCCCUGCUGUGUAGACAAAAGCUAAGUUUUAUGUCCGCGUGACUGCCACUGUCCCUUACUCCUGUUCUAUCCCGUGUGGAGUCCUACUUAUGUACCGAAUAGAGAAGCAUUUAGGUUUGUAGUCUACUUACGUGUGCCAACAUAAGAUUAUAUUUUUGUUGGUUCCUGGUUGUUUUCUUUGUCUGGAAAACAAGGUAUAUAUACCUCUUCUGCUUUCUUUUUGCCUCCCUUUUUAGAUCUAUACACACUCUCUUAUAUUACUUAUAAAUUUGAUCAGUAUGUUAUUUGCCUCUGUUUUUUGCGCCCGUACCAUCACAGGCGGUGUUUCCGCUACUGUAAUAUACAGUUACAUAUACAUUGCUGAAUGUUUAGUUGAUGUUCUUUGGUCCGGUUGGCGAUUAAAGAAGCCGCUUGCUCUAUAUGAUAUUGAGCAUGGCUUCGUUAUUUUGUUUCAAACCUUAUGAGCGAGUUGAUAUUUACCUUUUGUGCUCCCAUCAGUUGAGGAAUUAGUCAUUCUCUUCCGUUCAUUAGAAUACAAGAAUAGUACUCCUUACUGUUCUCCUUGUUCUGAAAUUAGCAGGAACAUAUAUACAUGUUGUAUUAUCUCCUAAUGCUAUGUUUAAUCAAAUUGAUCUUCUUUGCAAGGUGAACUAUUGCCUAAUACUGACAAUCUACUAUUGAAUUUCUUUUGUGGGGUGUUGCUUCUUCACCAACUUGACAGUAAUUGUUUUCCAUUUUACAUGUAGGUAUGCAUCGACAGGAAAGAGCUACUGCAUUUUAUUAUAUAUUUUUUGCUAGCUUGACCAUACCAGUGCAUCUCAGGAAAGGGAAUCAAAAAUAUGGCACUGUGUGUGUGGUGCCAACUUUAGUGACACCACUCUGAAGAGGCCCUUACUCUUCGUUAUAUGUAGAAAUUGAAGUUGGCUUUUCGAGAAAGGCUUAUUUCAGUUCAAUGAUUCAGGGAUUUUGGUACAUGUUAAUAGAGAAUCUUAUGAAGGUUCAUGUAUGGUGCAAGUGCUUAGGCAAUUUGUUAUUUUCUUUUACCACAUAGACAGUAUUUCAACAUUUCAUACAUCUCCGUGCGGCUCUCUAUCUUGGAGCUUUUAUAGUGUCCGAUGAAUAUUUGUAAGCUGCUCCUCUCUGAAUGGGCAUGGGCACUUACAGGUGAUCUUAAAAUUCUUCACAUAAUCAGACAAAAAAAGCCUGUUCCACAGAAGUGGAAGAAGCAAUUCUUAUUUGGGUUGAUGUCUAAAAAAUGUUACAUCUCACUCAAA